UAGAAAUGUUGAAAGCUACAUUAACACACACAUGAAUGCAGCAUGUCGAAAAGAAAUCAUGAUCUGGAUUGAAGAUCUUGCCAAACAUCACAAGACAAGUCCUACAACUAAUACAACAAUGACAGACAGUGUAGAACAUUGUACUCACUUACGUGAUGCUAACC